rnacentral:rRNA from 1 species
UAGGGAAUAUUGUGCAAUGGGCGAAAGCCUGACGCAGCGACGCCGCGUGGGUGAUGAAGGCCUUCGGGUCGUAAAGCCCUGUCGAGGGGGACGAACCGGUUGCGACCUAAUACGUCGCGACCCUGACGGUACCCCUAAAGGAAGCACCGGCUAACUCCGUGCCAGCAGCCGCGGUAAUACGGGGGGGGCAAGCGUUGUUCGGAUUUAUUGGGUUUAAAGGGUGCGUAGGCGGCCUAUUAAGUCAGUUCUGAAAUAUCCCGGCUUAACCGGGAGGGUGGGAUUGAUACUGAUGGGCUUGAGUGGAAUCGAGGUAGGCGGAAUUGACGGUGUAGCGGUGAAAUGCUUAGAUAUCGUCAAGAACACCGAUAGUGUAGACAGCUUACUAGACUUCAACUGACGCUGAGGCACGAAAGUGUGGGGAUCAAA